GAUGAAGAACGUAGUGAAAUGCGAUAAGUAAUGUGAAUUGCAGAAUUCAGUGAAUCAUCGAAUCUUUGAACGCACCUUGCACCCUUUGGCAUUCUGAAGGGUAUGCUCGUUUGAGUGUCAUUGUACUCUCACACUCCCGAUCUUUGCAUUGGGAGCAGUGGACUUGGGUUUGCUGCUUCACCGUCGCUUACCUCAAAUAGGUAAGUGCAACUCUUGGUUGGACAUAGUACGGCGUGAUAAGUGUUCUUCGCCGGUGCCUCGCAAAGAGGGUGGCCGAUCGGGAUGUUGUGCUCCAAACCGUCUUCGGACAAUCUCUGACGACUUGACCUCAAAUCGAGUAAGACUACCCGCUGAACUUAAGCAUAUCAAUAAGCGGAGGA
rnacentral:misc_RNA from 1 species